UACGUAGGCAGCAAGCGUUGUUCGGAGUUACUGGGCGUAAAGGGUGCGUAGGCGGCUUUUUUAAGUUGGUGUGAAAUCUCCCGGCUCAACUGGGAGGGUGCGCCGAAUACUGAAUGACUAGAGUGCGGGAGAGGAGAGUGGAAUUCCCGGUGUAGCAGUGAAAUGCGUAGAGAUCGGGAGGAGCAUCAGUUGCGGAAGGCGGCUCUCUGGACCAGCACUGACACUGAGGCACGAAAGCGUGGGGAGCAAACAGGA
rnacentral:rRNA from 1 species